GACGAACGCUGGCGGCGUGCUUAACACAUGCAAGUCGAACGGAAAGGCCCUGCUUUUGUGGGGUGCUCGAGUGGCGAACGGGUGAGUAACACGUGAGUAACCUGCCCUUGACUUUGGGAUAACUUCAGGAAACUGGGGCUAAUACCGGAUAGGAGCUCCUGCUGCAUGGUGGGGGUUGGAAAGUUUCGGCGGUUGGGGAUGGACUCGCGGCUUAUCAGCUUGUUGGUGGGGUAGUGGCUUACCAAGGCUUUGACGGGUAGCCGGCCUGAGAGGGUAACCGGCCACACUGGGACUGAGAUACGGCCCAGACUCCUACGGGAGGCAGCAGUGGGGAAUAUUGCACAAGGGGCGGAAGGAUGAUGCAGCAACGCCGCGUGCGGGAUGACGGCCUUGGGGUUGGAAACCGCUUUCGCCUGUGGCGAAGCGUGAGUGACGGUAAUGGGUAAAGAAGCACCGGCUAACUACGUG
rnacentral:rRNA from 1 species